rnacentral:tRNA from 1 species
GGAGGUAUAGCUCAGUGGUAGAGUGUGUGCUUGGCAUGCUUGGGGUCCUGAGUUCAAUCCCCAGUGCCUGCG